rnacentral:pre_miRNA from 1 species
GAUAUACUCCCUCCGUUUCAAAAUAGAUGACUCAACUUUGUAUUAAUUAGUAUAAAGUUAAUACAAAGUUGAGUCAUCUAUUUUGAAACGGAGGGAGUGUAUA